rnacentral:rRNA from 1 species
UACGAAGGGGGCUAGCGUUGUUCGGAUUUACUGGGCGUAAAGCGCACGUAGGCGGAUCGUUGAAGUCGGGGGUGAAAUCCCAGAGACUCAACUCUGGAACUGCCUUUGAUACUGGCGACCUAGAGUCCGGAAGAGGUUAGUGGAAUUCCCAGUGUAGAGGGUGAAAAUGCGUAGAGAUCGGGAAAGAACAUCAGUGGCAGAAGG